rfam:Loxodonta africana unplaced genomic scaffold scaffold_15, whole genome shotgun sequence.
GCACUGGUGGCAUAAUGGUUUAGCGCUUGGCUGCUAACCAAAAGGUUGGCAGUUCAAACCUACCCAGCAGCU